rnacentral:rRNA from 1 species
AGAGUUUGAUCAUGGCUCAGGAUGAACGCUAGCUACAGGCUUAACACAUGCAAGUCGAGGGGAAACGAUAUUGGAAGCUUGCUUCCGAUAGGCGUCGACCGGCGCACGGGUGAGUAACGCGUAUCCAACCUGCCCACCACUUGGGGAUAACCUUGCGAAAGUAAGACUAAUACCCAAUGAUAUCUCUAGAAGACAUCUGAAAGAGAUUAAAGAUUUAUCGGUGAUGGAUGGGGAUGCGUCUGAUUAGCUUGGUUGGCGGGGUAACGGCCACCAAGGCGACGAUCAGUAGGGGUUCUGAGAGGAAGGUCCCCCANAUUGGAACUGAGACACGGUCCAAACGUCCUACGGGAGCA